GCCCGUCUAGCUCAGUGUAGAACACAAGGCUUUUAACUUGUGGUCUUGGGUUCGAGCCCCAGGUGGGCG
rnacentral:tRNA from 1 species